AUACGUAGGGUGCGAGCGUUGUCCGGAAUUACUGGGCGCAAAGAGCUCGUAGGUGGUUUGUCGCGUCGUCUGUGAAAUUCCGGGGCUUAACUCCGGGCGUGCAGGCGAUACGGGCAUAACUUGAGUACUGUAGGGGAGACUGGAAUUCCUGGUGUAGCGGUGAAAUGCGCAGAUAUCAGGAGGAACACCGGUGGCGAAGGCGGGUCUCUGGGCAGUAACUGACGCUGAGGAGCGAAAGCAUGGGUAGCGAACAGGAUUAGAUACCCUGGUAGUCCAUGCCGUAAACGGUGGGCGCUAGGUGUAGGGGUCUUCCACGACUUCUGUGCCGUAGCUAACGCAUUAAGCGCCCCGCCUGGGGAGUACGGCCGCAAGGCUAAAACUCAAAUGAAUUGACGGGG
rnacentral:rRNA from 1 species